rnacentral:rRNA from 1 species
AGCCUAAGGUUAUUAAUCUUAGGUUAAACCUGCCCAAUGUUAAGUUAAAUUAAUGGCCGCGGUAAUUUGACCGUGCUAAGGUAGCGAAAUCAAUUGGCUUUUAAUUGGGGUCAGGAAUGAAUGGAAUAACGUGGUUUAACUGUCUCCUCACUAAUUACUUGAAAUUACUAUGCAGAUGAAAAAGUCUCUAAACAGAAAAAAGACGAGAAGACCCUUAGAGUUUUUCUUAAAAUAGAUCUAAUUAUGUCUAUAAAAGUUUAGUUGGGGCAACUAUAGAAAAUUAUAUAUAACUUCUUAAAUUUUUAUUAGCCGAUUAUUUUAAGUAUGUACAAACUACCUUAGGGAUAACAGCAUUAUGUAAUAAUUAAGCUUGUGACCUCGAUGUUGGACUGGGAAACUAAAAGGCUAGCCGUUUUUUAGGAAAGUUCUGUUCGAACAUAGAAUUCC